rnacentral:rRNA from 1 species
GACAGAGGUGCCAAGCGUUAGGCGGAAUCACUGGGCUUAAAGCGUGUGUAGGCGGCUCGUUAAGUACCUUGUGAAAUCCCACGGCUCAACCGUGGAACUGCUGGGUAUACUGGCGGUCUUGAGCCACCUAGGGGCGAGCGGAACAAACGGUGGAGCGGUGAAAUGCGUAGAUAUCGUUUGGAACGCCAACGGUGAAAACAGCUCGCUGGGGGUGUGCUGACGCUGAGACACGAAAGCCAGGGGAGCGAACGGG